AGAGUUUGAUCCUGGCUCAGAUUGAACGCUGGCGGCAUGCCUUACACAUGCAAGUCGAGCGGCAGCAUGGACUUCGGUCUGAUGGCGAGCGGCGAACGGGUGAGUAAUGUAUAGGAACAUACCCAGUAAUGGGGGAUAACGCCGAGAAAUCGGUGCUAAUACCGCAUACGCCCUGAGGGGGAAAGCGGGGGAUCUUCGGACCUCGCGUUAUUGGAUUGGCCUAUAUCUGAUUAGCUAGUUGGUGGGGUAAAGCUCACCAAGGCGACGAUCUGUAGCGGGUCUGAGAGGAUGAUCCGCCACACUGGAACUGAGACACGGUCCAGACUCCUACGGGAGGCAGCAGUGGGGAAUUUUUGGACAAUGGGGGCAACCCCUGAUCCAGCCAUGCCGCGUGAGUGAAG
rnacentral:rRNA from 1 species